rnacentral:lncRNA from 1 species
CAUAACAACCUUAGCCUAUCUUCCAUAACUAUGUUCUCUUGUACGAACCCGGUAGAAGCAUCAACAACUGUCAUUAACAGCUGUCCUCGCCGUUCACCUAUGCCGCCGAACAGGUGAUCUGGAUCUUGACCUAUGCUGCCGAACAGGUGAUCUGGAUCUUGACCUAUGCUUCCGAACAGGUGAUCUUGACUUAUGCUUCCGAACAGGUGAUUUUGAUCUUGAUCUAUGCUUCCGAACAGGUGAUCUGGAUCUUGACUUAUGCUUCCGAACAGGUGAUCUGGAUCUUGACCUAUGCUUCCGAACAGGUGAUCUGGAUCUUGACCUAUGCUUCCGAACUGGUGAUUUGGAUCUUGACCUUCUUACCCUGCAUAAAAAGGAAACCCUGUAAAUAAACAAGGCACAGCUGUAGUAUAAAUGGGAACCCAUACAAAUUCACCUGAGUAGCUUAUAUUGUUAUAUGAUGAUGGUAGUUUGUCUCAAAAAUAUAAACCUUAAACAUGAUUAACUUAAUGGCAACAAACCUGG